rnacentral:rRNA from 1 species
CUGAAUAUGGGGGGACCAUCCUCCAAGGCUAAAUACUCCUGACUGACCGAUAGUGAACCAGUACCGUGAGGGAAAGGCGAAAAGAACCCCGGCGAGGGGAGUGAAAAAGAACCUGAAACCGUGUACGUACAAGCAGUGGGAGCACGCUUAGGCGUGUGACUGCGUACCUUUUGUAUAAUGGGUCAGCGACUUAUAUUCUGUAGCAAGGUUAACCGAAUAGGGGAGCCGAAGGGAAACCGAGUCUUAACUGGGCGUUAAGUUGCAGGGUAUAGACCCGAAACCCGGUGAUCUAGCCAUGGGCAGGUUGAAGGUUGGGUAACACUAACUGGAGGACCGAACCGACUAAUGUUGAAAAAUUAGCGGAUGACUUGUGGCUGGGGGUGAAAGGCCAAUCAAACCGGGAGAUAGCUGGUUCUCCCCGAAAGCUAUUUAGGUAGCGCCUCGUGAAUUCAUCUCCGGGGGUAGAGCACUGUUUCGGCAAGGGGGUCAUCCCGACUUACCAACCCGAUGCAAACUGCGAAUACCGGAGAAUGUUAUCACGGGAGACACACGGCGGGUGCUAACGUCCGUCGUGAAGAGGGAAACAACCCAGACCGCCAGCUAAGGUCCCAAAGUCAUGGUUAAGUGGGAAACGAUGUGGGAAGGCCCAGACAGCCAGGAUGUUGGCUUAGAAGCAGCCAUCAUUUAAAGAAAGCGUAAUAGCUCACUGGUCGAGUCGGCCUGCGCGGAAGAUGUAACGGGGCUAAACCAUG